GGGAAACCAAAAAUCCCCAAAAACACAAAGUUUUGGUCCUAAACUUGCUGCUAUUUUUGAUCAAAAUUAUACAUGCAAGCAUCUGCACGCCAGUGAGAAUGCCCUAACUUACACUUAAAAGGAGCAGGUAUCAGGCACGACCUGUCAGCCCAAAACACCUUGCUAUGCCACACCCACAUGGGUACUCAGCAGUAAUUGAUAUUAAGCAAUGAGUAAAAGCCACAUUAAGCUCGACUUAGUUAUGAUCACCCGGGCCGGUUAACCUCGUGCCAGCCACCGCGGUUAUACGAAGGGCCCAAAACAGCAGACACCGGCGUAAAUUGUGACUAGAGACACCACCUUAAACAAGAAGAAAUAAACCACACCCUAACCGUAAAACAUAGGCUAAAUGAAGCCCCCCACUCUUCUUACACAAGGUUGCUUGAACCCACGAAAACUAAGAAACAAACUAGGAUUAGACACCCUACUAUGCUUAGAUGUAAACAAGACACUACACAACUAAAGUGUCCGCCAGAGAAUUACAAGCGAAAAGCUUAAAACUCAAAGGACUUGGCGGUGCUCCGUACUCAACUUAGAGGAGCCUGUCCUAUAAUCGAUAUUCCACGAUAAACCCUACCAUCUUUCGCCAACCCAGCCUAUAUACCGCCGUCGAAAACUUACC
rnacentral:rRNA from 1 species